AAAGGAAGAAGAUCUAAGAAUGCUUCUUUAAGAAGCUUUCUCGAUGGAGGGGAGUGGCAGACGGGUGAGUAACGCGUGGGAACAUACCCUUUUCUACGGAAUAGCUCUGGGAAACUGGAAUUAAUACCGUAUACGCCCUACGGGGGAAAGAUUUAUCGGGGAAGGAUUGGCCCGCGUUGGAUUAGCUAGUUGGGGGGGUAAAGGCCAACCAAGGCGACGAUCCAUAGCUGGUCUGAGAGGAUGAUCAGCCACAUUGGGACUGAGACACGGCCCAAACUCCUACGGGAGGCAGCAGUGGGGAAUAUUGGACAAUGGGCGCAAGCCUGAUCCAGCCAUGCCGCGUGAGUGAUGAAGGCCUUAGGGUUGUAAAGCUCUUUCACCGAUGAAGAUAAUGACGGUAGUCGGAGAAGAAGCCCCGGCUAACUUCGUGCCAGCCGCCGCCGUAA
rnacentral:rRNA from 1 species